UAAACUCAUAUAUAUAUUGAAUAUGCUGAAUAUUUCACCUCUGUUGUCAGUUUUUACAGAUUUGUGAGAGCAUCUUGAGGUAGGAGAGCAGAAGGAGAAGAGGAAGAGAAAAACAAGCACGCUGAAUCGUCUUUAAGGCAUGGACUGAUCCGCGAUCAGCUUUUAAGAGGCUCUGGUUUCACAUCAUUAACAACAUUCAACGCAUGUUAAAGAAGUAAACAUUGUAUUUGAGUGAUCUGGCUCUUCGGUGAUGCUCGCUUGGGUGAAACAACACUGUGCAGUUUUUAAAAGUGGUUGCAUGUGUUGUGGUGUUGAUUUCAGAGGGUUAUUGUAUAUGUCACUGUUCUUAUGCUAUACUGUUACAGCAGGAAAUGAUUUAAUGUAAACAAGUAGAAUUACAAAAAAUACCGAUUAUAU